CUCUCAUUUUUACUUCAAAUAGAAAACCAAAAUUUCCAUCAAAUUCCAUCAUCAGUCCUUUCCUUUCCCUCUCUUUCUUCUUCCUAUUCAAAAAGGGUUCCGCGCCAUACCCAGAUUCUUGUUUACAACAUUCUCUCUUCCACCUACCUUCAUUUCUCUCCUUGCCGUUCUUCUGGUUGGCCCUAAUUUCCUAAGGAAUAUGCCGAGGGAGAUCAUCACUCUGCAAGUUGGACAAUGUGGGAAUCAGAUCGGAAUGGAGUUCUGGAAGCAGCUCUGCCUCGAGCAUGGAAUCAGCAAAGAGGGUAUUCUUGAAGAUUUUGCUACUCAGGGAGGUGACCGGAAAGAUGUAUUCUUCUAUCAAGCUGAUGAUCAGCACUACAUACCAAGAGCUUUGCUUAUUGACCUGGAGCCUAGGGUCAUCAAUGGUAUCCAGAACAGUGAAUACCGAAAUCUCUACAACCACGAGAACAUCUUUGUUUCAGACCAUGGAGGUGGUGCUGGAAAUAACUGGGCCAGUGGAUAUCAUCAGGGAAAGGGUGUUGAAGAGGAUAUCAUGGAUAUGAUUGACAGAGAAGCAGAUGGAAGUGACAGCCUUGAAGGUUUUGUUCUAUGCCACUCAAUUGCUGGAGGGACAGGAUCAGGCAUGGGUUCGUAUCUCCUGGAGACUCUGAAUGAUCGCUACAGCAAAAAACUGGUUCAGACGUACAGUGUUUUUCCUAAUCAGAUGGAAACUAGUGAUGUUGUAGUCCAGCCUUACAACUCACUUUUGACUUUAAAGCGACUAACACUCAAUGCUGAUUGUGUUGUUGUCCUUGAUAAUACUGCCUUAAAUAGAAUAGCUGUAGAACGCCUUCAUCUAUCAAAUCCAACUUUUGCACAAACAAACUCCUUAGUAUCUACGGUAAUGUCAGCUAGCACAACCACUUUGAGAUACCCGGGAUAUAUGAACAAUGACUUAGUUGGACUUCUGGCCUCCCUAAUUCCAACACCAAGAUGCCAUUUUCUAAUGACAGGAUACACACCACUCACGGUUGAGCGCCAGGCUAAUGUGAUCAGGAAAACAACUGUCCUUGAUGUCAUGAGAAGACUUCUGCAGACAAAAAAUAUUAUGGUCUCCUCAUAUGCUCGAACAAAAGAAGCUAGUCAAGCAAAAUACAUAUCAAUAUUGAAUAUCAUACAGGGAGAAGUGGACCCUACACAGGUUCAUGAAAGUUUGCAGAGGAUACGUGAAAGAAAGCUUGUGAAUUUUAUUGAGUGGGGCCCUGCCAGCAUUCAGGUUGCACUCUCACGGAAAUCACCAUAUGUCCAAACUGCCCAUAGAGUCAGUGGUCUUAUGUUAGCUAGCCAUACAAGCAUCCGGCACCUUUUUAGCAAGUGUUUGAGCCAGUAUGAGAAGUUGAGAAAGAAGCAAGCCUUUCUUGACAACUAUCGGAAGUUCCCAAUGUUCGCUGACAAUGACCUCUCCGAGUUUGAUGAAUCAAGGGAUAUAAUUGAAAGUUUGGUUGAUGAAUAUAAGGCUUGUGAGUCGCCAGAUUAUAUCAAAUGGGGAAUGGAGGAUCCCGACCAGAUUCUUACAGGAGAGGGAGAUGCAUCGGGAACAGCAGACCCAAGUUUGGCCGUCUGACAAGACAAAUAAGGUCAUGAUAAUGGAGGUCUUCCAUUUGCGUCAAUGAGGUGUCUUUUGUUUGUAUGUUUUGGGACCGUUUGUGUGAUGAAGAGUGAGGCUUGUGGCAUUGGCAUCAUAGUUGAGAACAGCAUUGUUCAUCCUACCAUCCACAUGUGAUUACUGGCAUUCUGUUCCAACCUAAAACAUUCAGUUAUAGAAUGAUUGCCAGGGUUGGCUGGAGGAAAGAGCAGUCUACGUCCAUGAUUGAAACAUAUACUGAUUUUUAUGGACCAUUAUUUUCAAAUUGCAUAUUGAAUGAAUGGGAUGGUGGGAGUAAUCUCUAACUGGUUUUUGAGAUUGAUGAUUGAGUGGGUUUGUAGAGAGUGUUUGAACCUGAUCGCUGAUUAUUAAUGGAAGAAUGAUUUUAGUUAUUUUCAAAAAAA